CCCCCCCGCGCUCCCCGCCCCCCCAGCCUUAGUGAGAUUGACAGUCGCGUGGAGGAGGCUUUUCCAGGCACAGCCUUUCUCAUGGUAAUCAGCCCCCAGCAUCACCUCCCGGCAGCGGCUGCGCCCGCUCGGAGCGCGGCUCGCGGACCCCGGGGACCGGAAACAGGGCGGCGGGCGGGGAGCAGGCGAGCGAGCCAGAAAAGAAAAAGAAAAAAAUGUCAUUAGAAGAGGCGUAACACGUCAGUCCGUCCCCAGGUUUGUGUUUCCUGGAGUGGCCGAAAGAGAUCAGUUCUAACCUGCUCUGCAGGAAUAACGGUCCUGCCUCCCGACACUCUUGGCGAGGUUUUUGUACAGUUUGCUCCGGGAGCUGUUUCUUCGCUUCCACCUUUUUCUCCCCCACACUUCGCGGCUUCUUCAUGCUUUUUCUUCUCACCAUUUCUGGCCAAAACUACAAACAAGACUUCGCAGAUCGAGCCUGCGUGCUGCCGAAGCAGGGCGCCGAGUCCAUGCGAACUGCCAUCUGAUCCGCUCUUAUCA
rnacentral:sRNA from 1 species